rnacentral:rRNA from 1 species
CCCUUAGAUGUUCUGGGCCGCACGCGCGCUACACUGAUGCAUACAACGAGCCUAUCCUUGACCGACAGGUCCGGGUAAUCUUUGAAUCUGCAUCGUGACGGGGAUAGAUUAUUGCAAUUAUUAAUCUUCAACGAGGAAUGCCUAGUAGGCGCAAGUCAUCAGCUUGCGUCGAUUACGUCCCUGCCCUUUGUACACACCGCCCGUCGCUCCUACCGAUUGGGUGUGCUGGUGAAAUGUUCGGAUCGGCCGUUUGUCGCGGUUUCCGCGUCAUGUGGCUGAGAAGUUCAUUAAACCCUCCCACCUAGAGGAAGGAGAAGUCGUAACA